UUUGUUGUUUCUUCAUCAUCAGAUAUUUCUAUGGCCAUGGACACAGGAGUGAUUGAAGAGGAACGUGGACUCAUAGGAACUGUAAGCUAAGUGAUUUUCUGGUGCUUGUGUCUGCAUGGGAGGUGCAAUGGCUCAUUUCUGUCUUACUUUUGGUGACUGGACUACCAGUCAGCGUCUUAUCUGGAUCUGAUAAGAAGACGAUCAAUGCUGCCGAAGCUUUCCAGUGCUUGGUGUUGUCUGGCGUGCACAGUUUCCUCACUUGCCGUUCUGUUCCUGGAAAUUGUUUCUGAUUCCUCAGACUCGCUACCACAAGGUCAGAACCUGAAGUUGUUUCAACAUCCUCUAAUUCGGACCCAGCAUCUGUGUUUUCCGCAUCAGUGUUUCCUAAAUAAUUUAACAUUAUGUAAUAUUGACAAUCAGAGGGUGUUCAUAUAC